CGUAAGUGGCGAGCGUUAUCCGGAAUUACUGGGCGUAAAGCGUUCGUAGGCGGCGCGGUAAGUUGGGUUUGAAAGCCCGGGGCUCAACUCCGGACCCGGAUCCAAAACUACCGUGCUGGAGCAUAUCAGGGGGCAGCGGAAUUCCCGGUGUAGCGGUAAUAUGCGUAGAUAUCGGGAGGAACACCAGUGGCGAAGGCGGCUGCCUGGGGUAUUGCUGACGCUGAGGAACGAAGGCCAGGGGAGCGAACGGGAUUAGAUACCCCGGUAGUCCUGGCGGUAAACGAUGGGCACUAGGUGUCAGGGGCUUCGACCCCCUUGGCGCCGCCGCUAACGCAUUAAGUGCCCCGCCUGGGGAGUACGGCCGCAAGGUUG
rnacentral:rRNA from 1 species